CGGCUGCUAAUACCCGAUGUGCCGAGAGGUGAAACAUUUAUGGCCUGAGGAUGAGCUCGCGUCUGAUUAGCUAGUUGGUGGGGUAAGAGCCUACCAAGGCGACGAUCAGUAGCUGGUCUGAGAGGAUGAUCAGCCACACUGGGACUGAGACACGGCCCAGACUCCUACGGGAGGCAGCAGUGGGGAAUUUUCCGCAAUGGGCGCAAGCCUGACGGAGCAAGACCGCGUGCGGGAGGACGGCCUAUUGGUUGUAAACCGCUUUUGAUAGGGAAGAAGCUCUGACGGUACCUAUCGAAUCAGCAUCGGCUAACUCCGUGCCAGCAGCCGCGGUAAUACGGAGGAUGCAAGCGUUAUCCGGAAUUAUUGGGCGUAAAGCGUCCGUAGGUGGUUGUUCAAGUCUGCUGUUAAAGCGUGCGGCUUAACCGCAUACCAGCAGUGGAAACUGGACGACUAGAGUGCGGUAGGGGUCAGGGGAAUUCCCAGUGUAGCGGUGAAAUGCGUAGAUAUUGGGAAGAACACCGGUGGCGAAAGCGCCUGACUGGACCUGCACUGACACUGAGGGACGAAAGCUAGGGGAGCGAAAGGGAUUA
rnacentral:rRNA from 1 species